AGCAGCCGCGGUAAUUCCAGCUCCAAUAGCGUAUAUUAAAGUUGUUGCAGUUAAAAAGCUCGUAGUUGAAUUUUGGAUUCUUCCAAUUGGUCCAUCUUUUAGAUGAGUACUGGUUGUGUGGGGUCUAUCCGCCUGGUGAUACGUAAUGUCCUUUAUUGGAUGUUGCGGGUAGUCAGGACCUUUACCUUGAAAAAAUUAGAGUGUUUAAAGCAGGCUUAUGCCGGAAUACAUUAGCAUGGAAUAAUAGAAUAGGACGAAGUUGUUUUAUUUUGUUGGUUUCUAGGACAACCGUAAUGAUUAAUAGGGAUAGUUGGGGGCAUUAGUAUUCAAUUGUCAGAGGUGAAAUUCUUGGAUUUAUUGAAGACUAACUACUGCGAAAGCAUUUGCCAAGGAUGUUUUCAUUAAUCAAGAACGAAAGGUUAGGGGAUCGAAGACGAUCAGAUACCG
rnacentral:rRNA from 1 species